GAUGAACGCUGGCGGCGUGCCUAAUACAUGCAAGUCGAGCGAACAGACGAGGAGCUUGCUCCUUUGACGUUAGCGGCGGACGGGUGAGUAACACGUGGAUAACCUACCUAUAAGACUGGGAUAACUUCGGGAAACCGGAGCUAAUACCGGAUAAUAUGUCGAACCGCAUGGUUCAAUAGUGAAAGAUGGCUUUGCUGUCACUUAUAGAUGGAUCCGCGCCGGAUUAGCUAGUUGGUAAGGUAACGGCUUACCAAGGCAACGAUGCGUAGCCGACCUGAGAGGGUGAUCGGCCACACUGGAACUGAGACACGGUCCAGACUCCUACGGGAGGCAGCAGUAGGGAAUCUUCCGCAAUGGGCGAAAGCCUGACGGAGCAACGCCGCGUGAGUGAAGAAGGUCUUCGGAUCGUAAAACUCUGUUAUUAGGGAAGAACAAACGUGUAAGUAACUGUGCACGUCUUGACGGUACCUAAUCAGAAAGCCACGGCUAACUACGUG
rnacentral:rRNA from 1 species